AAUGGUGGAGGCUUCCAGUGAGAAACUUACGUGAAGGGAUCAUGUUUCUAGUCACUUGGUUCUAAGCACCUGAAAGAGGUCAAAUGCUGCCCCGACACCUACCGGUCUUUCCAGAAUUAUCUGCAGCCCGCAGAAGGCGCACUGAGCUCCCUUUAGCGUGGAUGAACCUUCUCUUCUUUCCAGGCGCUACACCUGUUGGCCAGGGGGAUCCAAAACAAGCCCCGUGGAGCAGCAGCCAGAGCUACAGCAGCCGCAAGACACUGUUUCUCUCCCUCUGCCCCCCCUUCCCCACGCAACCCCAGAUCCAUUUACACUUUACAGUCUUUACCUCACAAAAACUACUACAAGCACCAAGCUCCCUGAUGGAAAGGCCGAUCGUGCAGCAGAUCGCCAGGGUGUCCCAUUCAAGCUGCAGAUUUGUCUGUCAUCGUCGGACGGCGGCGGCGGCGGUGGCGGCAGCGGUGGCGGUCCCCUCUUCCUCGUCCGCGGCAGGGAAGUGUGUCUCACAUCAGGUCCCAGAGAGUGCUGGUGGACAUCCGUCCUUGCCCCAGGAUCUUCGUUGGAAGUCCCCGGGACUUGGUGUCUGUGCCGUUCACAGUAUAUAUGAACUCACCAGGAGGCAUAAUGCGUCACCAUUUUGUUCUGGGCCACCCUAAAGGAUGACACCCAGCUCCAGAGACCUCCUCUUGGACAUCACCCCUGAGAUCCAGUGUGUUAGCUCCCCAUUGUCUGAGCUCCCUUUCCGACCGAGUGUGAGCCGCCUCAGGCUUAGGCAUGCAACUGCUGAAAGUGCCCUUUGAUCAGCCGGCAAUUGCACACCUUCGUUGCUUUGAGCGCAGCGACUCCCUCUCUCACUCUUGUUGAGUCCUUACCCAGAUACGCUUGAAAACAGGCACCAACCCAUUCUUUCCAUCUUGGCAUCUGCCCACACGCUUAGUCCUGGGAUGACCUGGAGCAGAGGCAGUGAAGGAUGAAUGCAUCUUGUACAGACUUGUUCCUGCUAGUUCUAGCCUGUCUCUCGCCUCAGAUCUAGCUUUUAAAUCCUCGAGUGAUUGGUUUUGGGUAGGAAUGUGUGGAUUGUUGGAUUGGAAUAAUUUUCUCCCUGGGUUUCUAGUGUUUAUAUAAAUAAAUAAAUAAACACACACACACACACACACACACACACACACACAUACAUGCAUACAGUAUAUGUAGGUUCUAUCAUUGAUAUAAACAGCAGGGCUUAUUUUAAAAAGUUGCCCUUACUUAAAGUUGAUACAGAAUAAAAAUGUGAGCUUUUCUUUUUUUUUAUUAUUAGUAUUACAAGUUAUAACACAGCCAAAAGGUCUAUAUCAAUGUUUUGCCAGGAAAGGGUCAAAACGGAAAAUUUGCAACAAAGACCAACUAGAAUAGAACCAGUGCAAACAGAAGCUGACAAAUAUAUGCCCCUCGUUGGGAGUUCAGCCCCUGGAAUGUUAUGUAGGACAAAAGGAAUGGAAGAGAUAUUUCAGUAACAUUUUGUUCUGUGUCAAAAACCUUCUGAAAUAUAAAUCUGCUGUGUAUUGGAGAAUGGAUACAGCAAUUGAUUCAAGUUGAAUAGCUUUCGUUUAACUAGAAUAUCCCACAGAAAGCAGUUCUUGUUCUGACAGCCAUAUUUUUGCUUUUCUUGACUUAAAGAAAAUUGAAUUCAUGUUUACAUAUUUUAUAGGAUUGUUUUAUGGACAAAGACACAGGUCAAAUCCCAUCCCAGCGCACUGGCUUUUGUUAUAGCAAAUAGAAACAUUUCUAAAUGAAAUAAAAACCAUUUCUAAAAGCCAUGGCCUGUGGCCCAUAAUAAGAAUACUACACUGAUAUUAUGAAACCAUUUACAACGAUCAAUAAUUCAGUUGUAGAUGUGCUUUUUUCUUUUCUUUACUUUUAAUUUUUAAUUUUUUUUGGGGGGGGGCAUUCCUUUGACAUGUGGAAGUUCCCAGGCCAGAGAUCUAACCUGAGCCACAGCAGUGACAACGCUGGAUCCUUAACCCACUGUACCACCAGGGAACUCCUCUAAGUCUUUAAAAAAAUGUUUUUAGUCUCUUGCCAACAUACAUAUCCAUGCAUGUACUUCACCGAUUUGCAUAGUAGAGUAGGAAGAAUAUGAAUGUGUAUAACAGGGGUCAACUUUAUUUUGGACUUUCUGGAACAGAUCACCUUUUUAUCCUCCCCAUGAUGGCUCCCUGAAUUGCUUCCAGUUACUGAAAUUUCGUAAUUGCCCACAACUCCAUAUGUGUCCGUCUAAGGAUCUUGCCAUGUCCACCAAACCCAGCCAAAAGCUGGUCAUCAGUGCUAGUGAUUUACAAAGCUGAGCUUCAGAAUUAAGAGCCCCCUGCAAAUAGGGUUCUGUUCUUCCAUUGCCACACUUUUCAAGGAGAAAUUAGGUGCUUGUUUUGUUUUUUUUUUUUUUUCAGUUCCCCAGAUCAUCCUGGGCUCAUUUGCAAAUAAGAUGUUCGGCAAGAACUAUUACUCCUGAAACUUUUUUUGCUCUUUGUGGCCUAUGCUUCCAUAGAAUCUGAGAUAUUCCAGGUGCAUUAAAGACUUACCUACAGAAAAUUUUAGGGGACUCGAUCAAAAGAACGCUUCUCUAGGAAUAAAGGUCUUUUUAGGUUUUAGUCCUCCCUUCAAGGUUCUUAACUGGAUAUGCCACAUAUUUUAUUUCCUUUCUGUAUGUACAUUGAUUUACUACUUGGGUUUACUGUUUUCUAUUUGGAAACAGCUUUUACAAACGAACGCAUCUCUUUACAAAUGUGAAUUCCAGCUGGCUCCAUUCUCACCUUGACUCUCGUUUCUGCUUAUUGCUAGACCCCAGCUUCUCUUUCUGCUUCUCUCCUAGGAUUUUAUCUUGCUCAGCGAUUCUUGUGUGUGAUUCUGAAUUCUAUGGUUUGCGUUUCCUGACCAACCUCUCCUUGCCUCUGAGUCCAUUUCCUGUACUUUAAGCUUUGGCAUUCCAUUCUCCGAUCCGGGUCAAAACUGAAACUUCUAGUGCUAAUAAGACUGGUCCUCGCCACACCAUUGAUUCUUUUUCCUCUCCGUUUCUUGUUUCUCACUCCACUGUUCUUUCUCAAAGAUGUACCCUGAUGUGUCGUUAGGCACGUCAUUAGGAUAUGGCAGCUAGACUUGUGGCGAGCAUGUCACAGUGGACACAAAUAUUGAACCAUGAUG
rnacentral:tRNA from 1 species